AUUGCCCCAGUAACGGCGAGUGAAGCGGCAACAGCUCAAAUUUGAAAUCUGGCCCUCGGGUCCGAGUUGUAAUUUGUAGAGGAUGCUUUUGGUGAGGUACCUUCCGAGUUUCCUGGAACGGGACGCCAUAGAGGGUGAGAGCCCCGUCUGGUUGGAUACCGAGCCUCUGUAAAGCUCCUUCGACGAGUCGAGUAGUUUGGGAAUGCUGCUCUAAAUGGGAGGUAUAUGUCUUCUAAAGCUAAAUAUUGGCCAGAGACCGAUAGCGCACAAGUAGAGUGAUCGAAAGAUGAAAAGCACUUUGAAAAGAGGGUUAAACAGUACGUGAAAUUGUUGAAAGGGAAGCGCUUGUGACCAGACUUGGGCCCGGUUAAUCAUCCAGCGUUCUCGCUGGUGCACUUGGCCGGCCCAGGCCAGCAUCAGUUCGGUGUGGGGGAUAAAGGCGGCGGGAAUGUGGCUCCUCCGGGAGUGUUAUAGCCCACCGUGUAAUACCCUGUGCUGGACUGAGGUUCGCGCAUUCGCAAGGAUGCUGGCGUAAUGGUCAUUAGCGACCCGUCUUGAAACACGGACCAAGGAGUCGUCUUCGUAUGCGAGUGUUCGGGUGUUAAACCCCUACGCGUAAUGAAAGUGAACGCAGGUGAGAGCUUCGGCGCAUCAUCGACCGAUCCUGAUGUUCUCGGAUGGAUUUGAGUAAGAGCAUACGGGGCCGGACCCGAAAGAAGGUGAACUAUGCCUGUAUAGGGUGAAGCCAGAGGAAACUCUGGUGGAGGCUCGCAGCGGUUCUGACGUGCAAAUCGAUCGUCAAAUAUGGGCAUGGGGGCGAAAGACUAAU
rnacentral:rRNA from 1 species